GACGAACGCUGGCGGCGUGCUUAACACAUGCAAGUCGAGCGGUAAGGCCCUUUCGGGGUACACGAGCGGCGAACGGGUGAGUAACACGUGGGUGACCUGCCCUUAGCUCUGGGAUAAGCCUGGGAAACUGGGUCUAAUACCGGAUAUGACUCCAUGACGCAUGUUGUGGGGUGGAAAGCCUUGUGCGGCUAGGGAUGGGCCCGCGGCCUAUCAGCUUGUUGGUGGGGUGAUGGCCUACCAAGGCGACGACGGGUAGCCGGCCUGAGAGGGCGACCGGCCACACUGGGACUGAGACACGGCCCAGACUCCUACGGGAGGCAGCAGGUGGGGAAUC
rnacentral:rRNA from 1 species